ensembl:snRNA U6 U6 spliceosomal RNA
GUGCUCACUUCGGCAGCACGUAUACGUAAAAUUGGAACGAUACAGAGAAGAUUAACAUGGCCCCUGUGCAAGGAUGACAGGCAAAUUUGUGAAGCGUUCCAUAUUUUU